rnacentral:lncRNA from 1 species
AAGAGACAUUCUGAUUUUUUUGUUAACUCUUGUAAGUAUUUAACUCACCUUUAAUCCAAAUUAACUUAACGAAUGAUAACUGUAAGGGUAUUUUUGAAUAACGGAGGAACAUAUGAGGGGUAUAUUAGAAAGAAAAAAAUGGGGAUAAAUGAGAUAUUUCCGAAGUUUUGAAAGUUAUAUAAGCAAUUAUCCCCUAUAAAUAUAUCCUCAUAUGAGAACUAGAUGUUUAGUUAUAUGUAUCUUCAUAUAUAUUAAUAUAUAUCUUUAAUAAUAUUAUAAUACAGUUAUAUAGUAAUAUUAUAUUAUAUAUAUGUAGAAUUAUGCUACUAUACUAUCGAUAGUACCAAGUACUCGCAUGGUGCUAUCAAGUUUUCAACCGUUAGUGCCUGCUGCUGCAAUUUCUACAGUAGCAAUAGUAGUGAGAGGAGAGGGAAGAAGAGAAGAGAAGGGGAAAAGAAAGAGAAAAAGAAAGGAAGAGAAAGGAAACAAAGAAAGGAAAGGAAAGGGAAAAGAGAAGAAGAAAAAAAAAAA